rnacentral:misc_RNA from 1 species
AAAAUUGGUCAAAAGUGAGAGGCAACUUCUAUAAUUCAAAAUUGCCCUUCUCAAUUCCUGAUCACGUGCCACACCAAAAGCCUAAUUUUCCACCCGUUCACCAAGUUCAUGCUUCUUCACAAACUCAUCUUCCACCCAUUCUCCACCUCCUUGCCCUCAUCCGCGCCUUUCACAAAUGGCAUAGGCGACACCACUAAUUAGAAAACAAAAGCAAGAAAUUAAUUUCCAACUCCAAACUGCAACAAAAGAAUUCGUUCUUCAGCGAACGGAUUGCCGAAUCAAAGAGAGGAUUGUGUGCGGGUAUGAAGAAUAGGCGAAAUGGGUUAGUCAACUGAUUGGAGAUGGCUGGAGAUGGCUAUAGGUGAUUAGUGAAGUUUUCAGGUGGAUGAGCCGCGAGGAAAGGAAGCCGGCAGUCUGGUGAAGAGGAGGUUAGCCUUGUGGGGUGAACUAGGAUGUUAGAGCUGGGUUUGUAAGAGGGAUUAAAUAAAAGAUCGAGGCGAAUGCGCCUGUUGGUUUCGGUGAGGAAAGGGGAAAAUGGCGUGGGUUCAAUCUGGUGAGGAGCUGUCGGUGAGAAGGGCUAUGCGAGUUGGUGUGCCACCCAUGGUGACGGUGAUGAAGGUUAAGUAGUUCUUAGCCUUCUUUACAACGACCGCAAUCCUUCCAAUACCCACCAUUACCCAGAAAAGCAUCAAUCACAACAUGAAGGAGAGGGUAGGGUCAGACAUGAUUACUAUCUACCGAUCUAUAAUCCUUUACAAAAUGUGUCUAUGGACUUAAAGAGAUUUUGUUAGUUGAUUGAAAAAACUUGUUAAUUUGGAUUUGAUUACAGGAAAUUGUGAUGGAGCUAAUUAAUUGGUGAUUUUGAAAUUGGAG